rnacentral:rRNA from 1 species
GUUGCGGUUAAAAAGCUCGUAGUUGGAUUUCUGCCGAGAACGCGCGGUCCACGCUUUGCGUGAGCAUCUGUGUCGGUCUUGGCAUCCUCUAGAGGAUCGUUUCUGCGCUUGAUUGCGUGGGGCGGAACUCUAGACUUUUACUUUGAGGAAAUUAGAGUGUUCACGGCAGGCAAACGCCUUGAAUACAUUAGCAUGGAAUAAUAACAUAGGACCUCGGUUCUAUUUUGUUGGUUUCUAGAGCUGAGGUAAUGAUUAAUAGGGAUAAUUGGGGGCAUUCGUAUUAACGCGUCAGAGGUGGAAUUCUUGGAUUGCGUUACGACGAACUACUGCGAAAGCAUUUGCCAAGGAUGUUUUCAUUGAUCAAGAACGAAAGUUAGGGGAUCGAAGACGCUUAGAUACCGUCGUUA